rnacentral:rRNA from 1 species
AUGAACGCUGGCGGCGUGGAUAAGGCAUGCAAGUCGAGUGGGUUUAGACCCACGGCGAACGAGGUAGUAACACGUAGGUACGCACCCCAAAGUCUGGCAUAACUAGCCGAAAGGUUAGAUAAUUCUCGAUGGUCUCCGAUCCGAAAGGUAUCGGAGUAAAGAUUUAUCGCUUUGGGAGCGGCCUGCGGGAUAUCAGCUAGUUGGUAGGGUAAAGGCCUACCAAGGCUAUGACGUCUAGGGGAGCUGAGAGGCUGACCCCCACCGAUGGAACUGAGAUACGGUGCAUACUCCUACGGGAGGCCGCAGUCGAGAAUCUUCCGCAAUGGACGAAAGUCUGACGGAGCGACGCCGCGUGAUUGAUGAAGUCCUUAGGGACGUAAAAAUCUUUUCGCAGGGAGAAAGUUUAUUGAUAGUACCUGAGGAAUAAGAGGUUGCUAAACUCGU